rnacentral:lncRNA from 1 species
AGCCACCGCACUCGGCCUUUUUCAUGAUUUUAUAUAUGAAAACCUUUUGUAUCCCCACAAAGGUGUUAGAAGAAUUUUUUUUCAUAAUUUUAUAUAUGAAAACCUGUUGUAUCCUCACAAAGUGUUAGAAGAAUAGAUGCAUUUUUUCAUGAUUUAUAUAUGAAAACCUGUUGUAUCCCCACAAAAUGUUAAAAGAAUAAACUUUUUCAUAAUUUUAUAUACGAAAGCCUGUUGUAUCCAUGACUGUAUGUAUGCCCAUAAAAGAAGUCAACUAAGAAAAGAGAUGUAUUGGGCCCAGCGCGGUGGCUCACGCCUGAAAUCCCAGCAUUUUGGUAGGUCGAGGUGAGCAGAUCACGAGGUCAACAGAUCGAGACCAUCCUGGCCAACAUGUUGAAACCCCGUCUCUACUAAAAAUACAAAUAUUAGCUGGGCAUGGUGGUCUGUUCUCUUCUCUGCGAUACAUGACAACUUUUCCACAUUGAGAACUGUCUCCCCAUUAAGGCUUCCAAAAUACAUGGCUCUAUGAAAGCUUGGAGAGGGCUCCACUUGCAUUUUGUGCUAACAUCAUAGAGAUUUAAAGUCCUGAUAUUCGGAAUGGGAUUGACGUCAUAAACUUUCCUCCACCGGAAAAUGAGGAUAUCAUCAGUACGUCCUCAGUCGCACAGGCAGGCUAACGUGAAGCUGUUUAAAUAGUCAUCCAGAGAAAGGCGAUUUCAAGGGAAUGUUUCAUUUCGCCACUGAUGAUGGUGUUAAAAACUGACUGCUGCACGUCACAGCAGCUAGGCUUCCCAUGAAUCUCUCUAUGCAAACGUAUGGUGUUACCAUACCCAUGUCAAAAAUCGUCUGAUUUGGGGAAAGAGGUUGGAUGAAGGAGUCAGUCAUAAAUGCUGGGUCUUUCCCCUUUCUAAGCUCAGAAACUCCGCCUUCAAUUUCAGUUCUGGGUGGGAGUCAUCCAAGCAGUCUCCCUGCUGUUGAGGAUUCGACACCUUUUCACAUCCCAUCAUUCUCAGGAUAUUGAAGGGCACAGCCAGCUGGCUUUUUCUGGCAUUGGAGUUAUUUCUUCUGAUUUUGACACUAGUGAUAACUUGGAGUAUGUAAAAUUGGGUGAACACAGUGGCGGGCACCUCUUGGUUAUUUAUCUUACCCUUUCAUUGCUUCCUUUAGCAAAUACCUAUAGGAUGCCACCUGUGGUGCAGGUGUGUGGAGGUGACCUUCUAGAUUCUCCAGGAUGUAUUGAGACAUCACAAAUGCCUCAUCCUCUCCACCCUUGAGGGGGCCGACCACGGAUGUGCAUGUUUAAUUGUUUAAGGACACUGUCAGUCCAUUCCCCAUAGAAGUUUCGCAAAUGCCCAGGACUUACAUGAUGUCUCAGAUCUGUUUCCUAAGAGCCCUACAAACUUUCUGAUUAUUGCCAAUCUCUUAGUUGAAAAACGACAUCAAAUGGGCUAUCUUCAUAAAAUCAUCUGCGUUCCAUUUCUGGAAAACAUGUGAAUUGCCCUUUGUUUUUAUACGGGUGUUGGGUCCUUUUCUCAUUGAUCUAUAGGGACUGUUUACGCCUCAGUGAAGUAGGUGGCAGAUAUUCUUUUUCACUUAAUCCUUAGUCUGGUGAAUCUUCAAGGGCUGAAAGCUGGAUAAACCAGCAUGCCUGGCCGCUUUGCUGAGUGACCAAUGACACGUUAUAAAGUUAGAGGGUGGUGUUUCUAGUCCUCCCCAAUGAAUUAUCAAGAAUUGUCUUUGAGGUCAGAUUCUUCACAUUGACUAACUUUAGAAUAAAAAAAAGAAAAAAUGCAUUAAAUCUGUUGUCAUUCUAUGAAUAACACUGACAUUUUUGUAAGUAUUAUAAUCAUACC